rnacentral:lncRNA from 13 species
GUGCCCUUUUGGAGAAAUCUCUAUUUCAAUCGAUUCCUCUACUUUAGUUAUUGAAAAACAAUACACAAUUGCAAAAACAGGUAGACCUUCUUGUGUUCCUCGAGCUCAGUCCCGCAGGGCCUCAUGACUGGGCCUCAGUCCAAACAGCUUGUUACGAAAAGAGCUAGGGGCCCAGACGGCGCAGAAGCUUCCCGAGACCUCUCCGUGUCUGUGCACGGACGAGAGGCGGACUCUGGAGCCCAGGCUGCUGCUUCCCGAUGUGGUGGUGAAUCCUCCAGGCUCUGACUAUUUAAUCAGCAGGCAGAUCAGCAGGUCUAAAUUUCCACCGUAACUGCAAAGCUGGAUGCAGAUGAAUGAAUUACGACACAUUCAAGCCUUGCCAGUCUCAGCAUAUUCCUGCUUUUCCAACAUCUGAGGAUGCAUUAUGCAGAAUUAUGCGCUCCACUCUGCCUUCCAGACGUCCUGCCAGCAUCUGCACCCAGCCACCAACUAGGAGCUCCAGUGCCCAUUUCCUGCCAGAACUGCUGCUUUGGGAGGUCUUCUCAUUAGCUCCCCCCCCCAUUCUUUCUGCACGUGGCAAUCAAAGUUUCUUUCUAAAAUGAAAAUCUAAUCAUGCCCGAGCUAGAACAGACCACCGGAGUCUGGUUUGAGGAUGGAAGGACCCUGGCUUGGACUCUGUCUUGGUGGCUUUCACUCUGGUUUACUCCAAAGCCACUAAGAGGCCACAAAAAUACCGUAUGCCCCUCAUUACUUCCCUGGUUUUAUCUCAAAGACCUAGAACUCUACCUCCCAGCUCCAUAUCAUGCCUCUGUCUACCUGGUUCACUGUGUUAUACUCAGCUAGCUUUUCCCAGAACUUACUGAGUCUCCUCUUACCUUAGGGAUGCAGAUAUAUUCUGCCAUCUAUGUAGACCAUUGCUCUUCCGUAUUCAAACCACAAGCCCCUCCAGGAGCUGAUGGUUAUUUACCAAGAGUUGAGAGAGAGAGAGAGUGAGAGGUGGUGAGCCUAAGACAAGUUUAGAUUUCUAUUCCAGAGUCUUGUAACAACACAUACUUUUUCUUCUUUGUUCUUAUGAUAUUUUCAAUUGUAUGACUCCUUAUACCACUUAUAUGUUCCAUGCCUUUCCCCAUAGGGAGUAAUCUCCUGGAAGCCUGUGACCAUUUAUAGAUUAUUUUUUUCUGGAUUCCUGGGCUCAGCAGGAUGCACACCAUACAAUUAAUUUCCAGUUCAUAAGGACUCUGGGUCUUGAUGGACCUUGUCACCAUCAUGACCAAAUACAUCAGAAUCUUUCUAUGAAAUCUUAAUUUUUCUUUUUUAAAAUCAAAAUUUAGAAAUGAUUUCCAUCAGCAAGAGAAGAAAACACAGUCUCAAUUUUGUGGGGAAGUGGUAGACAUUUGCCAUUCUUUUUGACUGCCUUACCUUGCCUUUCCUACACUUGGAAAAUUUUCUACCUUUGUGAAUCUUAGCAGGAAGCAAAGUUACAUCCCAUUAGAAAAGCUGAGAAUUCCAGAUAUUUGUGUCAUCUAGGCUCUGCCAAUCAGAUGUUCUCAUGUCUUUUAGAAUCAAGAGCUAGUGAUGCACAGAAAGGAUGAUGUGAGCAUUCUCUGAGGCCAUGGUGACCAGGGUAAAUUUGAGUUCCUGGGGCAGUGAGAUGGCUGCUGUUAGUGACAAACAUCCAACACUAGUUAUUUGAUGGUGCCAACAGCAGCAUCUAACUCUCAGCAAUAACAUCCUCACUGGAGCCAAGAACUGGAAAGGAGAUAUAUUGGAGGAGGCUGCUGAAUUCAGAGGACCUUGGGCCACUGAACCCCCAUGAGUUUCCCUGACAGCCAGAAGCCCACCUUCUCUCUCUCUCACAGAGUGGGCUCCUAUUCAGUAAAUGGUGCUGGGAAACCCGGCUAGCCAUAUGCAGAAAACAGAAACUGGACCCCUUCCUUACACCUUGUAGAAAAUUAUCUCAAGACAGAGUAAAGACUUAAAUGUAAAAUCCAAAGCCAUAAAAACCCUAGAAGAAAACCUAGGCAAUGCCAUUCAGGGCAUAGGCAUGGGUAAACACUCCAUGACAAAAAUACCAAAAACCAUGGUGAAACCCCUGUCUACUAAAAAUACAAAAAAAUUAGCCAGGUGUGGUGGCACAUGCCUAUAGUCCCAGCUACUCAGGAGGCUGAGGCAGGAGAAUUACUUGAACCCAGGAGGCGGAGAUUACAGUGAACCGAGAUUGUGCCACUGCACUACAGCCUGGGAAACAUUGCAAGACUCUGUCUCAAAAAAAAAAAAUGCCGAAAACAAUUGCAACAAAAGCCAAAAUUGACAAAUGAGGUCUAAGUAAACUGAAGAGCUUCUGCACAGUGAAAGAAACUAUCAUCAGAGUAAAUAGGCUUCCUGCAGGAUGGCAGAAAAUCUUUUGCAGGCUACCCAUCUGACAAAAGUCUAAUGAUAUCCAGAAUUUACAUGUAACUAAAAAAAUUUACAAGAAAAAAGCAAAAAACCUCAUCAAAAAGUGAGCAAAUUAUACGAACAGGCACUUCUCAAAAGAAGACAUUUACAUGUCUAACAAACAUAUUUGUAAAAAAGCUCAACAUCACUGAUCAUUAAGGAAAUGCAAAUCUAAACCACAAUGAGAUACCAUCUCAAGUCAGUCAGAAUGGUGAUUAUUAAACAGUCAAGAAAUAAUAGCUGCCAUCAAGGAUGUGGAGAAACAGAAACCCUUUUACACUGUUGGUGGGAAUGUAAAGCAUUUAACCACUGUGGAAGACAGUGUGGCAAUUCCUCAAGGAUCUAGAACCAGAAGUACCAUUUUACCCAGCGAGCCAAUUACUGUUAUAUUCCCAAAGGAAUAUAAAUCAUUCUACUGUCAAGACACAUGAACACAUAUGUUUAUUGCAGCACUAUUUACAAUAGCAAAGUCACGAAACCAAUCCAAAUGCCCAUCAGUGAUUGAUAGGCAUAAAGAAAAUGUGGUACAUAAACACCGUGGAAUACUGGGCAGCCAUAAAAGGAAUGGGAUCAUGUCCUUUGCAGGGACAUGGAUGAAGCGGGAAGCCAUCAUCCUCAGCAAACUAACACAGGAACAGAAAACCAAACACCAUAUGUUCUCACUCAUAACUGAUAGUUGAACAAUGAGAACACACGGACACAGGGAGGGGAACAUCACACACCAGGGCUUGUGGGGAGAUGGGGAGUGGGUGGGGGGAACUUAGAGGAUGGGUCACUAGGUGCAGCGAAUAAUCACGGCACACGUAUACUUAGGUAACAAAUCUACAUAUUCUGCUUAAAUUUAAAAAACAAAGAAAAAAUAAUCAUAGAUGUCCUUACUCAAAGUGUGGUUAUAAUAAAAAUGUGGCUUCAUAAAAAUGCUGCA